UACGAAGGGGGCUAGCGUUGUUCGGAUUUACUGGGCGUAAAGCGCACGUAGGCGGAUCGUUAAGUCGGGGGUGAAAUCCUGGAGCUCAACUCCAGAACUGCCUUCGAUACUGGCGAUCUUGAGUCCGGAAGAGGUGAGUGGGACUCCUAGUGUAGAGGUGGAAUUCGUAGAUAUUAGGAAGAACACCAGUGCGAAGGCGGCUCACUGGUCCGGUACUGACGCUGAGGAGCGAAAGCAUGGGGAGCGAACAGG
rnacentral:rRNA from 1 species